UCUACUCUCAUCUCUCUGCAAUUUCCUCUUUGUUUAUAAUAGACCCGUGAAAUCUGACUACUUUUUCCUCUUCGUUUGAAUCCUGUCUUGCAGUGAGUGACUGAGUGUAGUUCAGCGACUUCAGCCUGCGAUUUCUUCCCGUGAGCACUUCGAUUGCAAGUUUGAAACUGAAGACAAAGGAAUUGGGAGAGAGAGUUCAGGGUUUGCAGGUUUCGUCUUCUGCCGUUGGUUGUUGAUCGAAAGAUGAUCAAAGUUUGGAAUCUGGAUGGUUGAUUCAAAAAUUACAAGCCAGCAGGACCGAUAUCCAAACCAAUCAGAAACAUGAUCUCAUGGCUAACAUUAGUUCCCAUCAUCUUUCGACCUCACUACUCCAAGCCCAUAGACAUCAAGAUUCACUAAUGAGAGCCUAAGACUACAUUGCACGCCUUUCUCAGACUACAGAUGAGCGGAAAGAGGUUGCCCCAAAGUCAAUGUGUUAGUUCCACUUAAAAGAUUGCUUCUUGCUUAUUGUCUUGGAGUUGGAGAUCUACUUCCAUGUCUGAAGCAUCUGCUAGCUCCUCUGACCCAUCCGCUUCCAGUUCUGAACCAGCCGCUUGCAAUGAGAGUUUUGAGUGUUUGAUAGUUUAAUGCUUUCAUCAGUUUCAUCUUUCAUGCUUCGACAGUUUGGGAGUUUGCAGGAAAUUGCUAAUUUGCUAUGUUGAUGUUGAUUGUUGAAUAUGUAUAUUAUAGAUAAUGUUGAGUUUGAAUGAGUGAAUAGAUUGUGCAAAAUUGAAUCAUUUGAAUG